rnacentral:rRNA from 1 species
AGCAGCCGCGGUAAUUCCAGCUCCAAUAGCGUAUAUUAAAGUUGUUGCAGUUAAAAAGCUCGUAGUUGAAUUUCGGGAUCAAUAUAUCGGUCAUGCUUAGGUAUGUACUGGUAUUAUUGAUUUCUCCCUUCUGAAGAACCAUAAUGUCAUUAAUUUGAUGUCGUGGGGAAUCAGGACUGUUACUUUGAAAAAAUUAGAGUGUUUAAAGCAGGCAUACGCUUGAAUACAUUAGCAUGGAAUAAUGAAAUAGGACGUUUGAUUCUAUUUUGUUGGUUUCUAGGAUCGACGUAAUGAUUAAUAGGGAUAGUUGGGGGCAUUAGUAUUCAAUUGUCAGAGGUGAAAUUCUUGGAUUUAUUGAAGACUAACUACUGCGAAAGCAUUUGUCCAAGGAUGUUUUCAUUAAUCAAGAACGAAAGUUAGGGGAUCGAAGACGAUCAGAUACCGUCGUAGUCUUAACCAUAAACUAUAGCUAGACUAGGGAUCGGAUGAUGUUAAUUUUUAAUGACUU